GGUAGCUCAGUGGUAGAGUGCUUGCCUUGCAUGCACGAGGCCCUGGGUUCAAUUCCUCAGUACCA
rnacentral:tRNA from 1 species